rnacentral:rRNA from 1 species
AUACGGAGGAUCCGAGCGUUAUCCGGAUAUAUUGGGUUUAAAGGGAGCGUAGGCGGACGCUUAAGUCAGUUGUGAAAGUUUGCGGCUCAACCGUAAAAUUGCAGUUGAUACUGGGUGUCUUGAGUACAGUAGAGGCAGGCGGAAUUCGUGGGGUAGCGGUGAAAUGCUUAGAUAUCACGAAGAACUCCGAUUGCGAAGGCAGCCUGCUGGACUGUAACUGACGCUGAUGCUCGAAAGUGUGGGUAUCAAACAGGAUUAGAUACCCUGGUAGUCCACACAGUAAACGAUGAAUACUCGCUGUUUGCGAUAUACAGUAAGCGGCCAAGCGAAAGCGUUAAGUAUUCCACCUGGGGAGUACGCCGGCAACGGUGAAACUCAAAGGAAUUGACGGGG